rnacentral:ncRNA from 1 species
UUUUUUGGUGGUCGCUAACGACGACAUAAUAGGGAAACAGGUGUAAAUCCUGUGCGGUCCCGCCGCUGUAAGAGAGGAGUUUUUAUCCGAUAUAUCACUGUAUUUUAAUUUUAAAAAAUAUGGGAAGAUGGAUAAAAGUUAUGAUACUCAAGCCAGAAUACCUGCCAAAGAAUACU